GAGGGGGUAGUCUAAAAAAGACAGCUGAUUUCGACUUAGCUAAUUAUGGUUCAAAUCCAUAUCCCCUCU
rnacentral:tRNA from 1 species